CACUUUCGGUUGUAUCACCUUCCGCUGUGAGAAUAUGUUUCUUUUUCUCUCGUCGGCGCCUCUGUGAGUUCUUGGCUGGUUUAUUUUUACUUUCAUCUUGGUUUUCAGGUGCUUACCUCGCUGCCAUUCAAUCUCCCACUCUUUCUGCUCAUGCUCGACGACAUUAAGGUUAGUUUUCCGGUCACCGGAUGUUUUUUGAGUAACGGAUUGCUGAAUUUCUUUUGAGUUUUGACUGUUUUUGAAGGAUUUGGUUCUUGAGCUCUGUUCUUAUUGUCUUUCUGAAUGAUGCUAUGCAAUAUUGAGUAUUAACAUACCGUUGUUAGGAGGAAUAGAGAGAAUAAUUGAAGCCCCUAUUCUGUCAUGUUUUUCUUUUGGGUUGUGAAGCUGACGAUUGGUUGUGUUUUGUAACGGCCUAGGCCACCGCUAGCAGAUAUUAUCCUCUUUGGACUUUUUCUUUUGAAUUUCUUCUCAAAGUUUUUAAAAUGCAUCUACUAGGGAAAAGUUUCCACACCCUUAUAAAGAGUGUUUCGUUCUCAUCCCCAACCAAUGCGGGUAUCGCAUGUUUGGUUAUAAAAAAUGAACUUGAUCUUUGGUUGGAAGGGGGAGAUGAACUUUAGGAACUCUAGCAAUUUAGUAUUCUUUGGA